rnacentral:rRNA from 1 species
AUGCCAGGAGGUACCACGCUGGCUACUGUAAAUGAGUUGAUUGAUACUGAAAAUUGGACUUGGCGGCGGGAGCUAAUCUGGGACACAUUCAUUGCCCCUGAUGUCGAUGCAAUUCUCAAUAUCCCACUACGGCGGGGUGGUGGGGAUGAUUUUCAAGCCUGGGCUCAUGAACGAAGUGGCAUCUACUCUGUCAAAUCUGCGUACCGUGCUCUAGUGAAUCGGAACGAGCGAGUUGCUCUAGAUGAAGGGACGGUUACCAACACCUCACAGACGGACGAGCAGAUGUGGAAGAAGUUAUGGAAGCUCAAAGUAUUGCCGAAGGUACGUGUGUUCUGGUGGCGAGUUCUGAGGGGAAUUCUACCAGACGAAUGCACUCUUCGACGACGGCAUAUCAAAGUUAUAAGCGGAUGCAAUGUCUGCCAUGCGAUGGAGGAGGACUUAAUGCAUGCACUAAUGCAUUGCUCACACGCAAAGCUGUUUUGGGAGCAAGCCUUUGGCCUUUUUGGCACCAGGAGGCCGCGCUUGCACCCUAGCACAUGGUCUCGGGACAUUACUUGUGAUGUUCAGUUUUCGGAUAUUGAGAGGGCUCAAAUGAUCUCGGUUAUGUGGACGAUAUGGCACUCAAGAAACAGAAUCACACAUGACAACGAUCAGCUGGAUCCUUUCUCUUAG